AGAGUUUGAUCCUGGCUCAGGAUGAACGCUGGCGGCGUGCUUAACACAUGCAAGUCGAACGAACCUUCGGGUUAGUGGCGGACGGGUGAGUAACGCGUGAGAAUCUGCCCUCAGGAGGGGGACAACAGCUGGAAACGGCUGCUAAUACCCCAUAUGCCGCGAGGUGAAAUGAAUUUCGCCUGAGGAUGAGCUCGCGUCUGAUUAGCUAGUUGGUGUAGGUAAUGGCUCACCAAGGCAUCGAUCAGUAGCUGGUCUGAGAGGAUGAUCAGCCACACUGGGACUGAGACACGGCCCAGACUCCUACGGGAGGCAGCAGUGGGGAAUUUUCCGCAAUGGGCGAAAGCCUGACGGAGCAACGCCGCGUGAGGGAUGAAGGCCUCUGGGCUGUAAACCUCUUUUAUCAAGGAAGAAGAUCUGACGGUACUUGAUGAAUAAGCCACGGCUAAUUCCGUGCCAGCAGCCGCGGUAAUACGGGAGUGGCAAGCGUUAUCCGGAAUUAUUGGGCGUAAAGCGUCCGCAGGCGGCCCUUCAAGUCUGCUGUUAAAAAGUGGAGCUUAACUCCAUCAUGGCAGUGGAAACUGUUGGGCUUGAGUGUGGUAGGGGCAGAGGGAAUUCCCGGU
rnacentral:rRNA from 1 species